GACGAACGCUGGCGGCGUGCUUAACACAUGCAAGUCGAACGAUGAAGAAAAGAAUUGAAGCUUCGGCAGAAAUUCAUUUCGGAUUAGUGGCAGACGGGUGAGUAACGCGUGAGCAACCUACCUCUUACAAAGGGAUAGCCUCGGGAAACCGGGAUUAAUACCAUAUAACAUUGCGACGAAGCAUUUCGAUGCAAUCAAAGCUACGGCGGUAAGAGAUGGGCUCGCGUCCCAUUAACCAGAUGGUGAGGUAACGGCUCACCAUAGUAACGAUGGGUAACCGGCCUGAGAGGGUGAACGGUCUCACUGGAACUGAGACACGGUCCAGACUCCUACGGGAGGCAGCAGUGGGGAAUAUUGCACAAUGGAGGGAACUCUGAUGCAGCGACGCCGCGUGAGUGAUGAAGGAAUUCGUUUCGUAAAACUCUGUUCUAUGGGAAGAAAAGGACUGUACCAUAGGAGAAAGCUCCGGCUAAAUACGUG
rnacentral:rRNA from 1 species